AGAGUUUGAUCAUGGCUCAGAAUGAACGCUGGCGGCGUGCCUAACACAUGCAAGUCGAACGAGAACGUCCCGCUUCGGUGGGAUCAGUAAAGUGGCGCACGGGUGAGUAACGCGUGGGUAACCUGCCUCUAAAUUUGGGAUAACUUCGCGAAAGCGUUGCUAAUACCGGAUAUCGUCCUUAGAGCUGUGGCUUCGAGGAUGAAAGGUGACCUAUUCAUGAAAGUUGCCGUUUAGGGAGGGGCUCGCGUACCAUUAGCUUGUUGGUGGGGUAAUGGCCUACCAAGGCGACGAUGGUUAGCUGGUCUGAGAGGAUGAUCAGCCACACUGGAACUGAAACACGGUCCAGACUCCUACGGGAGGCAGCAGUGAGGAAUUUUGCGCAAUGGGGGAAACCCUGACGCAGCAACGCCGCGUGAGUGAAGAAGGCUUUCGAGUCGUAAAGCUCUGUCAAGUGGGAAAAAAUCCUCUCAAUUAAUAGUUGAGAGGUCUGAUGGUACCACUGGAGGAAGUACCGGCUAACUCCGUGCCAGCAGCCGCGGUAAUACGGAGGGUACAAGCGUUGUUCGGAAUUAUUGGGCGUAAAGAGCGUGUAGGCGGUUUGGUUAGUCAGAUGUGAAAGCCCUGGGCUCAACCCAGGAAGUGCAUUUGAUACUACCAUUCUUGAGUAUGGGAGAGGAGAGUGGAAUUCCCAGUGUAGAGGUGAAAUUCGUAGAUAUUGGGAGGAACACCCGUGGCGAAGGCGACUCUCUGGACCAAUACUGACGCUGAGAAGCGAAAGCGUGGGGAGCAAACAGGAUUAGAUACCCUGGUAGUCCACGCCGUAAACGAUGAGAACUAGGUGUAGCGGGUAUUGACCCCUGCUGUGCCGGAGUUAACGCAUUAAGUUCUCCGCCUGGGGAGUACGGUCGCAAGGCUAAAACUCAAAGGAAUUGACGG
rnacentral:rRNA from 1 species